rnacentral:lncRNA from 1 species
GGGUUGCCACUCUUCUUUUGCUUGAAGAUCAUGCACAGAUCUUGCCUGUGCAAAAGAACAUGAGCCAGCUCAGUCUCUAUCCCCACUCUCUGCCCUGGCCACUUGACCAAUAACUAUACUUAAAUCACAACAUAAACCAAUUUGAGACAUGCUGGAAGGAGAAGGACAAUAGCCCAAAGUAACUCCAUGGUGCAGUAGUAGCCAGAAAAGUAUAAAUAGGACUGGAUUCUGCUUGUGCUGGACUAAGGUAGGCAAAACAAAUUUGACUGAAGUUUAUUGAUGUGGGAGUGGUCUCUCAUGACACAGCAUUUAACACUCUGACAGGGACCCUUGAAAAUGGUGCACACACACAUCUAGGGUGACCUCUAGAAGCGUGAGAAAGGGGAUAGCCCACACUAAGUGAGAUAGAAAUACCAGAAUUACAGUGCCAGACAGUGGAAAAAGGGAUUAAAAGACAUAGCAAAGUGGAUACACUACGUAAAGCCAGAAAAUCCACCAGAUCACUUUGUUUCAAAGAGAGCAUCUACCAUUUACCAAAACAAUGAGGAAUGACUAGUGAGAGGGCCAAAAACAUCACUAAGAAGUUUGGUGGUGGCUCCCGCCAUGGGCCAGGGCAGAUGAUAGGAGACACAGACAUGGGCUCACAUCUGUUAGCAAUGGGCAUGCUAAACCUCCAAAAUAAUCAAGGCCAUGUAUCAGCACUUAACCAGUAGAAGCCAGGUGGAGGAAAGUAAUGCAAUGAGUGGCAAGGUCAAAGUGGCAGAAGGAGGCCUGACCAGCUGGGGGUUAUGGAGAUGGUCAAUAGAAAGGAGCUUCGCUGGAGGUGAACCAGAUGAGCAAUCAACAAGGGUGCUUUUCAGUCUGUAGAAUUCAAAGAAGCCCAAGAUGGAUAAUCAGGAGUCUGAAGGCAGUCAUCCCAAUUCAAAGUCAUGAUUCCUUUAUCAGUUUCUAGACAUAAGUCGGGUUUCAGAACCAGAACUCAUCAACUGAAGGAGAAGCCAGGUCUCUGGGAGGAAGAAUCCAGCAACACCAUGGCAAGUAUACAAGAAACCAGUGAGAGCCAUGCUGCACAGAAGCUUAGAAAUCAAGCAGAUGUGGGUCCAAAGUUUUAGCUGCAUGACUGAAACAUGCGAUCUCACCUCUCUGAGCCUCAGUUUCCUCAUCCAUACCCAAGAGAGCAAUGACACCUACCUGUGUCAGGAUGCUUUUAGCUCUAAGCAACAGAAAAUAUGAACUGAACUGAAAAAAAUAAUAAUCACCUUUACCUCAUAUAGCAGGAAAUUCUGAGGUCCUGAGGAUUCUGAGUGAAGAGCAGUUGGGGCUCUGGCACCAUUUCUCUCCAGUUCUCUUGCUUUGCUUGGCGCUCCUUUGUGUGAAGGUUUUGUCUUCACGCUGCCUUCCUUCACUGUUGAAAGAAGACCACAAGCAGCAACAAUGGAAGCAUGCUUUCUCGUUCCCAUCCAGUGGAAGAGAGUGAAUAGCUUUCCCCUGAACCAUGGAAUAAAGCCUUUCCUUCAGUCUGACUGGAUCAACCUAGUUUGCUUGUCCACCCCUUUACCCGUGAAAAUAGCUGAUUGUCCAAGGCCUAGGGACCAAAUCAGUCAUUGGGCAGGAGAAUGAUAUGACCAUGAUUCAUUUAAACUAAUCAGGAUCCACCCCUGGAGCUGGAGUCUCACAGGCUUCCUGGAGGAAAGACAGACACCGUUCCUGGAAGCGCUCAGGUGAACAGCAUUCUGAGGAGAGCGGGCUUGGGCUGGGGUAGCCGGAUGCAGAGUGCGACUGGGCUCCAGGGAAAGGACACCGUUCCCUGCUGUUCUCCACUUUUAUGAUCAAAAACAGUUGAGUUUGGUAUGGUGAUGGAUGUUAACUAGACUUAUUAUAGUGAUCAUUUUGCAACAUAUACAAAUAUUGAAUCAUUAUGUUGUACACCUGAAACUAAUAUAAUGUUAUAUGUCAAUUCCAUCUCAAUAAAAAGUAUCCUAAUAUUAAAAAUGAUUUAAAAACAAUUGAGUUUGGUCACCAAGUUUUCUGAGUUGAGCCAUAUACUUGUGAUUUGUACACUUUUCUAUAGUAUGCCUAAAAUACAUACAAUUUAAAAAAAAAUUCGUGCUCUCUUCAGCAGCACAUAUAAUAAAAUUGGAAUGAUACAGAGAAGAUGAGCAUGGUCCCUGUGCAAGCUGACAAUCAAAUUCGUGAAGUGUUCCAUAUUUUUUUUAAAAAGAAAAAAAACCUCAACCUCACAUUCCCCAUCAACUACCACCCAUCUUUCAUUUUCUGUUCUAAGGCAAGCUUAUCAAAGAUGAACGUGCCACUCUCACUUCUCCAUCUGCCACUCCUUCGUUAAGCCACGCUCAUUGGGCUACUUGCCCCACCAUUCCCUCAUAAUUGGUCUAGCUACCAUCACCAAUAACGUUCAUGUUGUUAAGCCAACAGACUGGUUUCAGUCCUCAUUUUAUUUGACUUCUGAGAAGGAUUCACCCAGUUGACCUCUCCCUC